AGUAAGCCGACCGGUACAUUCCGAGCGCUUAGUACGGUGCUCCGCACGUAAUAAGCGCUCGAUAGAUGCCGUCGGACGAACAGGAAGCACUUCAACGCCACGACGACGGUUAUGAUUCUUGGACGGCCCAAGAGUUCCCUGCAGGAGCCUCUCAAGUCGCCCCCCCGGUGAAGUCACACACAGGCGCCCAACAACCCCAACCAGGAACAGUCCACCUACGACGCACGUCGGAAUCAUGAAGCAUCUGCAACCAAAACUCCAUGGAAACACGAUUGGAGAUGGAGAGCGGGGCGUUCUGGGAGAGAUGCGUCCGUGGUGUCGCUAUGGGUAGGAGACAACUCGACAGCACAAGACAAGACCUCAAUCUCAUCUAUCUCGCCGCCGACCCCUUUCCCACGUCCUCCCUCUGGCUUGGAACUCCCUCUCCCUUUGCAUAUUUCAGAUCACCUCACUCCAUCUCUUCAAAAUCUUAUUAAAAGUCUCCUCCAAUUG